rnacentral:rRNA from 1 species
ACUCAAAUGAAUUGACGGGGACCCGCACAAGCGGUGGAUGAUGUGGAUUAAUUCGAUGCAACGCGAAAAACCUUACCUACCCUUGACAUGUCAGGAAGUCUUGAGAGAUUGAGAUGUGCCCGAAAGGGAACCUGAACACAGGUGCUGCAUGGCUGUCGUCAGCUCGUGUCGUGAGAUGUUGGGUUAAGUCCCGCAACGAGCGCAACCCUUGUCGUUAAUUGCCAUCAUUUAGUUGGGCACUUUAGCGAGACUGCCGGUGACAAACCGGAGGAAGGUGGGGAUGACGUCAAGUCCUCAUGGCCCUUAUGGGUAGGGCUUCACACGUCAUACAAUGGUCGGUACAAAGGGUCGCCAACCCGCGAGGGGGAGCCAAUCCCAGAAAGCCGAUCGUAGUCCGGAUUGCAGGCUGCAACUCGCCUGCAUGAAGUCGGAAUCGCUAGUAAUCGUGGAUCAGCAUGUCACGGUGAAUACGUUCCCGGGUCUUGUACACACCGCCCGU